UUCGGCUUGUUCCCUGUCAUAGGCAUUUUCUGCAUGCCUGUUGUGUGACGUCUGCUCCCGGACAGACGCUGGUUUUCUGGCCGUCUCCGCCCAAGGUCACCAGGCCCCUGCCUCUCAGCCUUGACAAUGGAGUCUUACCACGCGAGAGCAAAACCCAAACUCCUGCCCCACGUGCCUCAGGCCUAGCCUCCCUCUCAUCUCUGAUGCUCACCUGACCGCGCGACUCUGGUCUCCACCUGUCACCCCUUCCAGGAGCACUUUUAGUUUUGGUUUGCUCACUGAUGUAUGCUCUGACUACCCUGCCUUUCUCAACCAGGAAGCUCACACUCUGUGCUAUGGCCUGGGAAAGCAGCAGAAGAUGUUCCAAGUCCUUGGGCCCCUGCACCCAUGUGGGAGACCUAGAAGAAGCUCCUGGUUCCUGGCUUCAGAUCGGCACAGCUUGCAGCCAUUUGAAGAGUGAACCAGCGGAUGGAAGACCUGUCUCUCUCUCUGCCUCUGUCUCUCUGUAAC